GAUGAACGCUGACAGAAUGCUUAACACAUGCAAGUCAACUUGAAUUUGGGUUUUUAACUUAGGUUUGGGUGGCGGACGGGUGAGUAACGCGUAAAGAACUUGCCUCACAGCUAGGGACAACAUUUGGAAACGAAUGCUAAUACCUAAUAUUAUGAUAAUAGGGCAUCCUAUAAUUAUGAAAGCUAUAAGCGCUGUGAGAGAGCUUUGCGUCCCAUUAGCUAGUUGGAGAGGUAACGGCUCACCAAGGCGAUGAUGGGUAGCCGGCCUGAGAGGGUGAUCGGCCCCAAGGUGCCUGAGACACGGCCCUUACUCCUUCGGGAGGCAACAGUGGGGAAUAUUGGACGAUGGACCAAGAGUCUGAUCCAGCAAUUCUGUGUGCACGAUGAAGUUUUUCGGAAUGUAAAGUGCUUUCAGUUGGGAAGCACGAAAUGACGGUACCAACAGAAGAAGUGACGGCUAAAUACGUG
rnacentral:rRNA from 1 species